GAGCCCUCUGGCAAGGCCGCGCCCGCCCGCUCUCGAAGUGCAUAUCAGCAGCAGCGCUCAUCGUGCUUACUGGGACGGGGUCUAAACUGAUGCUGGACAGCCUGCCCACGGGAGCUCCCUCACACCCCUGCCCAAGGACGGAAUUGGGCCCCAAGUCCUCUGGCUUCACUGAGUUUAAAGCAUCUCAGUUCACCUUAACUUGAAAAUGUGAAUGAAACCUUCCUUGGGAACUUACCAGACAUUACCUAAUCAGAGGAACCAAAUGCUUUUCUAAAUACAGCAGAAGCACCCGGCAGAGGCAUCGGGAAGGCUGGAGAGGCCCCCUGGACUGAAGACCCCACGGCAUUGAGACAGAGUCUCAAUCUGUGGCCCAGGCUGGAGUCCAGUGGUGUGAUUAUAGCUUACUGCAGCCUUGAACUCCUGGGCUCAAGCAAUCCUCCUACAUCAGCGUCCCAGGAGCUGAGACUACAGGUGUGUGCCACCAUACCCAGCCAAUUUUCCUAUCUUUUUGUAGAGAUGGGAUCUUUCAAGUUUGUCCAGGCUGGAGUGCAAUGGUGUAAUCAUGGCUCACAGUAGCCUCAAACUCCUAGCCUUGAUAUUAUACCUGUUAAGGUGAUCAGUAAUCUUUGAUGUUACUAUUGUAACUAUUUUGGAGCACCAUGAACUAACCCCAUAUAAGAUGGUGAACUUAAGCAAUAAAUGGUGAUAUAUUAAGCAAUAAAUGGUGAUUUAUAAGCAAUAAAUGGUGAUUUAUCCUGAUUGCUCCAUGGACCAGCUAUUACCUGUCUCUCUCCCUCUCCUCAGGCCUCCCUAUUCCCUGAGACACAACAAUAUUGAAAUUAUGCCAUUUAAUAACCCUGUAUUGGCCUUCUAAG
rnacentral:lncRNA from 10 species